UACAGAGGGUGCGAGCGUUGUCCGGAAUCACUGGGCGUAAAGGGCGCGUAGGCGGUGCCACAAGUCACCUGUGAAAUCUCUGGGCUUAACUCGGAGCCUGCAGGCGAAACUGUGGUGCUGGAGUGUGGGAGAGGUGCGUGGAAUUCCCGGUGUAGCGGUGAAAUGCGUAGAUAUCAGGAAGAACACCCGUGGCUAAGGCGGCUCUCUAGUACGGUACUGACGCUGAGACGCGAAAGCGUGGGGAGCGAACAGG
rnacentral:rRNA from 1 species